UGGAGGAAAGUAGGGGAUCGUAAGACCUUGCGCUUUUGGAGUGGCCGAUGCCUGAUUAGCUAGUUGGUGGGGUAAAGGCCUACCAAGGCGACGAUCAGUAGUUGGUCUGAGAGGACGACCAGCCACACUGGGACUGAGACACGGCCCAGACUCCUACGGGAGGCAGCAGUGGGGAAUUUUGGACAAUGGGCGAGAGCCUGAUCCAGCAAUGCCGCGUGAGUGAAGAAGGCCUUCGGGUUGUAGGGCUCUUUCAGUCGAGAAGAAAAGAUUGUGAUGAAUAAUCACAGUUCAUGACGGUAUCGACAGAAGAAGCACCGGCUAACUACGUGCCAGCAGCCGCGGUAAUACGUAGGGUGCAAGCGUUAAUCGGAAUUACUGGGCGUAAAGGGUGCGCAGGCGGCUUUGUAAGUCAGAUGUGA
rnacentral:rRNA from 1 species